rnacentral:lncRNA from 1 species
GCAGCUAUGGAUUUAGAAAGUGUCCUCCACAGUCCUACCAGCCCCCUUCUGUGCUCAUGAGCCUGAGUCCUGGGGACCCUGAGUUCAGGGCUCCCUGCUUGCCAGCCGAGGGCAUGCCAACCAAUGCAAAACUCUCAGGCCCUAAAAGAGCGCCUCCCCCUCCUCACACCAACCAGCAGCCCCAGGAGUUGGAGAUGGAUGCUUCCCAUUUGAAACAUCUAAUCUUACUUUAGUGCAACGGAAUCUGAUGGUGGCAACGUUUUAAACAUGUGUGUCCCAGAAUUGCUCCAUUAUCUCCACACGGUAGGAAGGCUUUACCUUCUCAACAACCUGAUCUGUCACCUUACUCGGAAGAACAACACAUCCAGACCUUGCUCUUAGUUACUGUCUGAGAGCCUGGACGGGCUGUGCUGUUUUUCAAGUUUGUCGGGGGAGGCGGGGUGUCAUCAGGGUGGU